rnacentral:rRNA from 1 species
UACAGAGGUCCCAAGCGUUGUUCGGAUUCAUUGGGCGUAAAGGGUGCGUAGGUGGCGCGCUAAGUCAGGUGUGAAAUUUCGGAGCUUAACUCCGAAACUGCAUUUGAUACUGGCGUGCUUGAGGACUGGAGAGGAGACUGGAAUUUACGGUGUAGCAGUGAAAUGCGUAGAGAUCGUAAGGAAGACCAGUGGCGAAGGCGGCUCACUGGCCCGGUACUGACGCUGAGGUGCGAAAGCGUGGGGAGCAAACAGG